rnacentral:rRNA from 1 species
CCUACGGGAGGCAGCAGUGGGGCAUAUUGCACAAUGGGCGAAAGCCUGAUGCAGCAACGCCGCGUGAAGGCAGACGGUUUUCGGAUUGUAAACUUCUGUUCUUAGUGAAGAAUAAUGACGGUAACUAAGGAGCAAGCCACGGCUAAAUACGUGCCAGCAGCCGCGGGAAUACGGCGGUGGCACGCGUUGUCCGGGAUUACUGGGUGUAAAGGGAGCGUUGGCGGGAAGCCAAGUCAGCUGUGAAACCUACGGGCUUAACCUGUAGACUGCAGUUGAACCUGGCUUGCUUGAGUGAAGUAGAGGUAGGCGGAAUUCCGGGUGUAGCGGUGAAAUGCGUAGAUAUUCGGAGGAACACCGGUGGCGAAGGCGGCCAACUGGGCUUUAACUGACGCUGAGGCUCGAAAGUGUGGGGAGCAAACAGGAUUAGAUACCCCGGUAGUC